UGAAAGAAGAAAACCUAGAUAUGCUAGC
rnacentral:piRNA from 1 species